GCGGCCAUGGCGGAAUUGGUAGACGCGUACGUUUGAGGGGCGUAUGGGAAACCAUGAGAGUUCGAUUCUCUCUGGCCGCACCA
rnacentral:tRNA from 1 species